rnacentral:rRNA from 1 species
CGAAGGUGGCAAGCGUUACUCGGAAUUACUAGGCGUAAAGGGCAGGUAGGUGGUUUGGUAAGUCUAUUGUGAAAGCUCCCGGCUCAACUGGGAGAGGCCAAUGGAUACUGCCGGACUUGAGUAUAGGAGAGGUUACUGGAAUUCCCGGUGUAGCGGUGAAAUGCGCAGAGAUCGGGAGGAACACCAAUGGCGAAAGCAGGUAACUGGACUAUUACUGACACUCAGCUGCGAAAGCUAGGGGAGCAAACAGGAUUAGAUACCCUGGUAGUCCUAGCCGUAAACGAUGCACUUUAGACGUGAGGGGUAUCGACCCCCUUCGUGUCGACGCUAACGCAUUAAAAGUGCCGCCUGGGGAGUACGGCCGCAAGGUUG